rnacentral:lncRNA from 1 species
UGGGAAACUACAGAAGGAUUUAAGCCGGCUGAUGACUACCUGGUCACCCCGAUGGUUGGGCGGAUGAUGAAUUAACUGUCGAGCAGGACUUGGAAGGCCGCUGUCGUGGUAACUCAGGACUCGCUUUAGCCAAUGAAACGUGAAGACGAGUGAUGCGCAUCUCUUCUGAGCCGAAGCUUCAAGAGCCGGCUCGUGGCCGCCACGUCUCUUCUCCCUUCGCCAGAGACCGGCAGUGUUUCGGAGGCUGCCCCAUGAGCGAAGAGCCUGGGUCCAUGAAAGAAGACGUGGAGCAGAGCCCAGCCUGCCCACGUCGGCCACGGGGCAAAGUUCCUUGAAUCUGUUCUAUCGUGUCACCUCUGAAUCUUUGCACGUGCAAUCCAUUUUACUCAGAAGAAAACGCUUCGUCACCGCCUCCUUUUUUCCGCUUAAUGGUAAAAUUCAGGCUCUAUAGUAGUCCACGAAGAGAGCGCUUUGCAGCUCCAGGAGUGAUGGCUGAUGAGGAUCAAGGCUGCCCCAGGGAGAGAAGCCCAAGGCGUCCUGGGCUACGCACCCAUCUAUAUCAUCCUCCGGAAGCACAGGACAUUUUGACCUAAUUGACCUGAUUCAUAUCCAAAGUUAUAGGACCACCCGAUAGCCAGACCCCA